UACGAAGGGUGCAAGCGUUACUCGGAAUUACUGGGCGUAAAGCGUGCGUAGGUGGUUUGUUAAGUCUGAUGUGAAAGCCCUGGCUCAACCUGGGAAUUGCAUUGGAUACUGGCAGGCUAGAGUGCGGUAGAGGAUGGCGGAAUUCCCGGUGUAGCAGUGAAAUGCGUAGAGAUCGGGAGGAACAUCUGUGGCGAAGGCGCCAUCUGGACCAGCACUGACACUGAGGCACGAAAGCGUGGGGAGCAAACAGG
rnacentral:rRNA from 1 species